UUUUUUUUUUUUUUUGGUUUUGCUUGCUCAUUCAGCACAGUCCCAGUUUUGGAGCCCUUGGUUUUGUGAGUCGGUAUCUGAUGCCAUGAGAAGUGCUUAUGUGGAGGAGGGUUGCCUACGAGAAAGCAAGAUAUAUUGAAGAUAAUGAUCCUACUUCUGGAUGGGAGAUAACAGCGAGACAAACACACAGCUCUUGACUUGCAUGAGAAGCUGCAGAGAGGACCAUGUAUGAAGACAGAGCAGUGUCACGACUGGAAUCAGCAAUAUUCUGCAAGAUAGUGGAUCCACUUGAACAUUUCACAGCCUUAUGCCAGGUAUGUUUUUUCUUGUAUGGCAGGGUAUGUUGUGACUGGUAUAAAAACAUCUGUAACA
rnacentral:lncRNA from 1 species